rnacentral:rRNA from 1 species
GGAGGAUCCGAGCGUUAUCCGGAUUUAUUGGGUUUAAAGGGAGCGUAGGCGGACUAUUAAGUCAGCUGUGAAAGUUUGCGGCUCAACCGUAAAAUUGCAGUUGAUACUGGUCGUCUUGAGUGCAGUAGAGGUAGGCGGAAUUCGUGGUGUAGCGGUGAAAUGCUUAGAUAUCACGAAGAACUCCGAUUGCGAAGGCAGCUUACUGGACUGUAACUGACGCUGAUGCUCGAAAGUGUGGGUAUCAAACAGGAUUAGAUACCCUGGUAGUCCACGCCGUAAACGAUGGAUGCUCGCUGUUUGCGUCUGACGUAAGCGGCCAAGCGAAAGCGUUAAGCAUCCCACCUGGGGAGUACGCCGGCAACGGUGAAACUCAAAGGAAUUGACGGCCGUCA